rnacentral:lncRNA from 1 species
AAUUUUCAUGGAGAGCUUUAAGUUUUUCUUUUUGCAUGUUAUCCUCAUGGUUGUACUCUCCAGGGGGCUUGUUCCUUCGGUAAUUAUCUUUAAUGACGGUAUUUCCAUAUUGACGCGAGGUGGGUGGGGUGUUGAAGAGAGAGGGAGACUCGAGACGGUGCAUUGACUCUGGAUUACAUUAGAGGGGUUAGAUGGAUGAGUGUUAGUUACAUCCCAAUCAGAACAUUUGCACCACUAGGUUUCACCAAAUGCCAAUCAUACUGGACUGAGCUCCUCUGCUCCUCUCCCUGAAACAUUAACAAAAAGUCAUUAACAAAAAGCCUUCCUGUUCUGAAGGCAAAUAUCUAUCUAUCUAUCUCAUCAGUCUUAGGGCUGGAAGAGAUGCAGCUCUGGGCUGGCUCUGAUGCGGACUUGUCACAAAGGCUUGGGCCUGCCUGUCUAGGAUCCUGUCUCUGCAGCUCUGCCCACGUGACCGUAUCCUUGGAAGAAAAAAAAAAUGGGGAUGCACAAAGUGACCAGCACAGGGUAUUCGUGAUGACCGGGGAACAGAGAUUGAGAAAGCAAGAGCCUUCCUGGCAAAUCUGGGUUCAGACGCGGCAGAGACAGCUGUUUCCAGCCACUGCUAUGAACCCAUCUAAGUGAAAUUGUGAGGACUAAGGAGAGAGGCACCCAUGACUGCCUUAAUCCACUCCUACCCAUCGUCUCUUCACCCAUCCACCCAUCCUUGCUGCAGACCUUUACUGGGCACCUGUGCCAGGAGACCAUCACUGCCCAUCAGAAGCUCAUACAGGGAGAAGCAGUGGCCACAGCAGAAGGCGUCCCGGGUCCUAGAGAGCACCUGGAGAACAAGGGAGAGCUGCAGAAACCGCCCUGUCUGCAUGUGUGCCCUCAUGUUCUUGGGUGCAUGUCUGUGUUUGUGUGUGUGUUUGCUUAUGUGCAUGUGCAGUGUGUGUGUGUUCGAGACAGAGCGAGACUGAGAGUGCAAGUGGGUGUAAGCACACACACCCACCCGUCAGCCCUGCCUGUCUGCUCAGAGUUUUGCCUGUCACCCGGCCACGCCCUGUGACCCCCCUCCUCGGCUGGGUGCAGCCAGGACACCUGUUGCCAGCUGCGAGCACCUGCCUGGUUGCUGCGCCCGUGUCCUGUGCAUGUUCCAAGCCAGCCCCCUGGGGUAAUCCAGGCCAUGACUCAGGAACGUCAUGUUGGGACACCCGAGACCCCCAGCCCCUGCCCUAGGGGUCAGGGCAGCAGGUCCCAUCUCCCUUAGCUGGGCUGGGCCCAGGCAGCCUGUAUCACUGUUUGCUCCAGAGGCUGGGUGCGUCCUGCUUGGGGGCUGUGUGAGGCCCGCUUGUUUUCACCCACAGAUUCCCAGGGUUCUCAAGGCAGAGGAAAGCGACAAUUAGGGCAACACCCAUGUUGGUUGGAUCAGAGUGAAUCCCAGGCCUGCUUGGGAGGCUUUAGGCACUCAGCUCGGCCAUCUCUGAGGGUAAGGGCAUGUCAGCCACUCUGCUGGGGCAUCUCUGUGCUCAGCACCAUGUGGGCUCAUCACAGACACAAGAGUGCGUCCUCUCAGAGGGAAUGGUCUGGCAGGUUUUGCCUGUUUUCCUGCUCACAGGUUGAAUUUCUUGGCCAGCAUCCCAUAGCCAGGCCAGAGCGGAGCAGGGCUGCCUGCUGCACCCAGUGGCUUCUUGUCAAUCUCGGCCUCUCGUUCCCUGCCUGGGAGAGGGUCUCAGUGUGAAGGGCAGAGGGGUCUUCUGGAACCAGCCAGUGCUGUGUCGGAGAGAAAGACCAGGAGGAAAUUGGAGGGGUACAGGCCUGAAACUCUCCCGCUGCCUUGCCAGGCACCCAAACCUGCUUGACCUGAGUGUCUUUCCGGCGGCGGGUGGGGGGGAGGGGGGUGGGGCGUGCUGCAUCGCUUACUUUGCCUGUGUCUUAGGGGAGCCUACCCAUUGCCCUCCAGCACCGGCGAACAAAGACCCCCACGGUGGCCAGGCCUGUGCGGGGUGUAAACAGUGUCCCAGGGUGUCUUGGUGUCCUCACUACUACAUCCUCCACGUUCCAGAGGAGAAACUGAGGCCCGAGGACACCCAGAAUUUCCCAGGGUCACACCAAGGGGAAACAGGUGACGUUGAAGUGGACACAGGGUGAUGAGAGGGGUGCAGAAAAGGAGAUACCCUGGCAUGCCAAGCCUGGGGCUGGUUGUCCACAUCCAGGAAGGUCCCUGCAAGGUUGUGGCACCUUUUCAUGGCAAGCAGACGCAGCACCAUGAAUACCCACAGCCACUCCUAAGGGCCCCUUCAUGCGGUGGCUGUGCCCAGCACUGGGCACGCAGGAACCAAGGCCCAGAGAGUUCUGGGUGGGUGGGGAGAGCUAGAGCCUUCCUUCUGGGCUCCAGGGCUUUUCAGUAGCACCACUGGCUUUCUAGAAGGUUGCUGUGUGAUUGGAAACUUGUGCUUUGAGAUACGAUUAUCUGUGUGGGGAGGAGGUUGUACUGGAGUCAGCAGUGAGGGGUGGCAGCACUAGGCCAGAAAUGGAUGUGGGGUCCUCUUGCGUGGAGCUGCCACUCCCCCAGCCACUCUGUCCUUACAACCAAAACCCCAAAAGGGGGCUGAGCCGGCCCUUGUGAGUGAGAGUAGAGGAGAAGGAAGGGGCUGUGGGGGGAGAGAAGCACAUGGAGCUGGCCCACGUGGAGAGAGGGACCCUGGGUGGCAGGGUGGCGUUGGGGGAGAUUUGCCAUCAGAGUGACCUUAGUGACUGUGCCACCUCGACCCUGACCUGGGCAAUGCCUGUGAGGGCACUGGGGCCCAAGGUCCCAGAGGAGCAGGGGAACUAAGAUGUGGCUCUCACAGAACCUCAAAUGUAUCUCCAGACAUCCACAUAUCUGCACCUGACACACAUUUCUGGAACAGCUACUUGGCCAAGCACCACCAGUUUGUCUCUAUGCCCCUCUUGCUGGGGAGCCCAGUCUGGGGCAAAGGAAGGCACAGGGGCAUCCGCUCCAGGCUUUCCAGAAUAGGCAGAACACAGAAGGGGUGCCCGCCGGACACGCGGAGGGAGGAGAUGAGAAGAGUCCCCAGCGCCAGAAGGGGUGGAGACGGCCUUGCUGGGGCAGGGCCACAGGUCACCUGCUGCUGGGCUCUGGCUGCAGUGGGAAACAACCAAAGUUUUAAAAAGAGGGUGAACCUCUUAGGAAAGGAAAUGACAUUUAUAAAGAGGUAGGGACGUGGGGGCAGGGAUGAUGGCCUUGGUGGCCACAGCUCUUAAACCAGUGGGGAGGAGGCAGCCACGCCAGCAUGGUGAGAUCCAAGCCGCAGUGACGGGGCUGCACUCGCUCCAGGUAGAUUGCUCAAAUGGAAGCUUCUGGAUGGAUAACUAAGGCAGCACAACCCCCAGUCAUUGUCUGAGGGCCACCCUGGGGGAUGGAGCGAGUGCAGGCCAAGUGGAUGCAGGGCCCACGGCCAGUUUCCAGGGUGAGCUGCAGGGCAAGCCGUGGGAAGCCCCAGAGGCAGACGCUGAGGGAUGGGCACCCCAAGAGAGUCCAGGGAUCCGAGGCCACCUGGGUGGAGCCCGGACAGCGUCUACUCCAGGGAGCAAAGCUGAGGCAGGAGCCGAGGGCUUUCCAGUGGAUGUGGAGACUUCGGCUUACUCCCGCACUGACUUUAUCCCAUUUCUGAGCCUGUCGGCACGUGUAGAGCAUUUUGGGCUCAGUUUCUCUAGAGACUAACUGUGGCCUCCCAUGGGGUGGGGACAGGACAGUCUCCCGGCUGCAUGGAAUGGGAUGCCGACCGAGGGACGGGCUCUCUCUUAAAGACUUGCCACCACACCUCUCUUGUCCAUGCCAGGCUUCUGGGGUCCCCUCUGCUGCAGGUGCUUCGGGAGUCUCAGUGGUUCUUCAGGGCAAAGCUGGCCCUGACCGUGUGCUGCAUGCCCGGAGGUCUGACAUCGGUGCUGCUGAGUGGCCUGCCGUGGUUCUCUUGGUUUCCCAUCUUGCAAAGAGUCGGUGAACUCUCACCUGCUCUUGUCUCCUCGUCUCUGUGCCCUGUCCUCCUGCGGGGCUUGGGAAACCAUAGGUGAUAAACACAUGAGCCAAUCUGCCAUCUCCACUGGAGCCAAUGCUCUUUCUGUGUUCCCAUUGGCCUGCCUAGGACUGAGGUCAGCUCCAGGGUCAGAGGCAGGACUGGAGUUGGGUUCUAACUGAGGCAGAGACAGGGCUUGGGAGAAGAAAUCAAGGUGGAGGGCAGAGGCUCCAGGUCUUUGCCAGGCUCACCUCAGAAGUGGGUGUGUCAGGCUGUCCAGAGUGGAGUGCACAGAAGCUGGGGCUUUGACAAGGGCAGGGUGACCAGUCCAGGCUGGCCUCAAAGGCAAGAGCUUGACUGCAGGGCCAGCAGGCGUGUGAUGUGGGUGGGCCCUAAGGAGGCUGAGGGAGAGGAUAAACUGUGAAGAGCCAGCAGCCCAGAAGCUAAAUGCAGGGAGGCAGAGAAGACAGGAGAGAUGGAGGCUUGCAGGACCUGGUGGUUGGGGAGGGCCAGUGACCAGGUGUUUAGAAGCAGCACCUCCUGUGAUUGGGGCUGAGGGUGAACUCUGCUUUCAAGCAGAGGUGGUUUGUCGUGGGUCUUCCAUGAUGACACCAGGUCAAGGUAGGCUGUUAGCACUGAGGCCUGUGGGAAGGCGAGGCCCGUGGGCAGAGUCCCAGAAUGGGAGGAAAAUGAAGACAGCCACUGCAGGGACUUGGGUGUCAUUCUGAAGGAAGCCACUUAAUGGUAAAUGGAGCAACAACAUGGUAGCCUUUCCUCUGGGGGAGCCCAGAGACAAGGGGGGUCUGGGGAGGCAGGCAGGCAGGCAGGCAGGUCAGGCCAGGGAGGGGCUGUGCCCAGCAGGGAAUGGAUGGCACACUCCCUCCCAGAAAGGCUGCUGCAGGGCUCAGCACUCUGAACCUUAAAAGGUUUACCCAACAGAGCCUCCAGAUGCUCAGAGUCUUGCAGGCUCAGAACAAGAAUUGUCAACUUGCCAAGAUGAAUCUGUCUCUCGGGGGAGGACCCACACAGAACAAACGUUUGAAGCAGAAGUUUGCUUGGUAAACAUGGAAUCGGAACAUGGGAAUUGGGCCACUGGGAUAUUCAAUUGCGUCAGACCAUUGUAGCUGAUACUCCUGGACAGAGGGGCUUUGCCAACUGGACAGAUAUAUGAAGUGUUGCUGACCGAGCUCCUUGCUCUGUGUGGGAGGGAUCUUGCCAGCUCCAGCCUUGGUGGGUCUCCUUUUUCUGUUUCCAAGCUUAAAUAAGCACUUGGCUGUUCUGAUUAGCACUUUUAAAAGCUGUGUUAAUAAGUUCAAUUAAAAUAGAAGAAUCUCUCAUUCUGUCAUAUCGGGUUUUUUUAAUUGCAAACCAAUAAAACUUAAAUGAACUUGAGCAAAA